AAACCCUAGCCGCACUCAGCCCAGCCCCGCCUCGCGCUCCUCGCCUUUCUUUCGCGAGAGUCAGAGACGGCGGCGGAAGCGUCGACGCCUCGGUUGCCCACCAGCGUUGCGGCGUCGCCCCCUCCUUCUUCCAUCCUUUUCCCUCCCCUCCCCUUCCCUCCCUCUAGCUAUGUGAUUUCACCGGUCCUCCCCUGCGCGACCAACCGGAGCCCUUCGGGCUUCUCGGGUAUUUUUGAUCCGACGCCUCGCCGGUGAGGGGGAUACAGCUCCUUGCCGGUGGCGCCGGUGAGGGGGUAGAUGUGCUCAUCCAGCGAAUCAAGCUUAUGGUGGAUCACUGUUCAAUGGGACAAGCUGGCGGUGGGAGUCGAUAUGGUGAAGCAGCAGCAAGCGAGCAACUGAAUCCGCAGCGCCGCUCGCGUGGUCUCUGUCCACAGGCGUUUCGAGUUCCUGGUUGUGCGUCCCCCAUCCAUCCCGGGUUCCCGACUCCUGCAGUCGCCAAAGAUUGACGCCAUCAACCGUCCCCAUCACGUCAUGAUCCUCCGCUUCCCGUUAUGCUUCGUGCUGCUGCACACAAAAAACAACAGUGUUCCAUCGAAUGACUGAUGGAUUAGGGUGAGGUGUUGUUCACAGAUAAGAGAGAAGGUGUCUUGUGUGCUACCACUCUGUCAUGCCAUCUUGCCGAGGGACCCAUCGAGCUUUGUCCUCACUGUUAAGCAUGGAUCAGAUGCAUGGUUCAUGCCCGGUUUUAUGGAUUCAAGUUUGAAGAACACAAACAAUAUGCAGGUGCAUCAUUUCUUAUUUAUUUCCAUAUUUUUCGUGUACAUCAUUGUUUAAUUUUAGGAAACACUUUAACUGCUUCAUGUUGUUACUACCUCUAUUCUGAAAGAGAGGUACUUACAGUUUCAGCGGGGAGAUUCAUCUUGCAGGACACCAUUCAUCUUCUUUACCAUGGUUCGGUUAACAAAAGCUUAAUUAUAUUCUAAUGAUCAUAUGUAAUUAUGCCUCACUUCUAUUAAGGGAAUUUUUCUUUACUUCAGAUUAUUUCAUAUGAAUUCAGUUGUCAAAAAAUUCCAUGUUAAUUAUUGGUUCUACUGGUACAUUAUAUAUUGUACAAUAUAGUGAUGCCACUUUACCUAGCUUGAUAGAAUGACAUAGAUGGCCAAAAAAAAAAUCAUGCUAGGGAUCACUACAAGGCUAUGAAUAGAAAGCUUAUAUGAAAACAUUCUGCCAACAGGAUAUCCAUUGGAAUGAUAUACUUUUUAUCAAGAUUGCAAAUGUUUCUACCAGAAAUGACAUGAUGCAGAUAUAUAGAUGAUGUACAUGCUAAUAAUUGAUGAGUGGUUAGAUUAAUUCAUGGGAUUUGUUGUGUUGGUCCAGUUCAACGAAGAAGGUUGAUAAGGUCAUGGAGGAAAUGAAGCCUAUAAUUAUUUUAUCAUUGCUUGGUGGUGUUUCAGAUGACUCUGCUGCCUCAUAUUCGACAAAUUGGACAUUGAAGCAGGUGACAGGAGAAACUCAUACAAGAGUGAUACCACCUCAGUUACUGCCAAAAGAUCAGAAAAUCAUCUUUCAGAAGCCGAGCCAACAUUGCUACUCUUGAAAAACACAUAUAUUUCUACUUUUUUUUUGUGAUAUUUGUAUCCCAAAACCUAUAUUUAGACUAUAUCAUGGUGUGUAUUUUGUGCCGUUUUGGUGAUUUGCGACAUUUUUUUUUCUCUAUCGGUCAUGAUUUAUGUUACAUAGAAGAGACUGUACAUGCGAGACCUCUCUAUAUACGAUAUUACUUAUCUUAUUUUGUCAUUAAUAUCAUUACUACAUAUGUAAGUUACUUCUUGGCA